UACGUAGGGUGCAAGCGUUAAUCGGAAUGACUGGGCGUAAAGGGUGUGUAGGCGGUUUGUUAAGUCGGAUGUGAAAUCCCCGGGCUCAACCUGGGAACUGCAUUUGUGACUGUAGAGCUGGAGUACGGUAGAGGGGGAUGGAAUUCCGCGUGUAGCAGUGAAAUGCGUAGAUAUGCGGAGGAACACCGAUGGCGAAGGCAAUCCCCUGGGCCUGCACUGACGCUCAUGCACGAAAGCGUGGGGAGCAAACAGG
rnacentral:rRNA from 1 species